rnacentral:tRNA from 1 species
CAAAGUAUACCUUAACCCUAAAGGCCCUGUCUUACACGCAGGUGUAUCCCCGUUGAAGCCGGGUUACUUUGA